rnacentral:rRNA from 1 species
UACGUAGGGUGCUAGCGUUGUUCGGAAUCAUUGGGCGUAAAGCGCGUGUAGGCGGUUAGUUAAGUCAGAUGUGAAAUCCCUGGCUCGAACCGAGGAAGUGCAUUUGAAACUAAAUUAGCUAGAAGAUGGUAGAGGAAGGUGGAAUUCCAAGUGUAGAGGUGAAAUUCGUAGAUAUUUGGAGGAAUACCGGUGGCGAAGGCGGCCUUCUGGACCAUUCUUGACGCUGAGACGCGAAAGCGUGGGGAGCAAACAGG